CCUACGGGGGGCAGCAGUGGGGAAUAUUGGACAAUGGGGGGAACCCUGAUCCAGCCAUGCCGCGUGUGUGAAGAAGGCCCUCGGGUUGUAAAGCACUUUCAGUGAGGAAGAACGCCUGGUGGUUAAUACCCAUCAGGAAAGACAUCACUCACAGAAGAAGCACCGGCUAACUCCGUGCCAGCAGCCGCGGUAAUACGGAGGGUGCGAGCGUUAAUCGGAAUUACUGGGCGUAAAGCGCGCGUAGGUGGCUUGAUAAGCCGGUUGUGAAAGCCCCGGGCUCAACCUGGGAACAGCAUCCGGAACUGUCAAGCUAGAGUGCAGGAGAGGAAGGUAGAAUUCCCGGUGUAGCGGUGAAAUGCGUAGAGAUCGGGAGGAAUACCAGUGGCGAAGGCGGCCUUCUGGACUGACACUGACACUGAGGUGCGAAAGCGUGGGUAGCAAACAGGAUUAGAUACCCUUGUAGUC
rnacentral:rRNA from 1 species